rnacentral:rRNA from 1 species
CUCCUACGGGAGGCAGCAGUAAGGAAUAUUGGACAAUGGCCGCAAGGCUGAUCCAGCCAUGCCGCGUGCAGGAUGACGGUGCUCUGCAUUGUAAACUGCUUUUGUUCGGGAAUAAACCCUUUCACGUGUGAGAGGUUGAAUGUACCGAAAGAAUAAGGGACGGCUAACUUCGUGCCAGCAGCCGCGGUAAUACGAAGGUCCCAAGCGUUAUCCGGAUUUAUUGGGUUUAAAGGGUGCGUAGGCGGGCUAUUAAGUCAGUGGUGAAAGCUCUCAGCUUAACUGGGAAACUGCCAUUGAUACUGAUAGUCUUGAGUAUGAUUGAAGUGGGCGGAAUGUGUCAUGUAGCGGUGAAAUGCUUAGAUAUGACACAGAACACCGAUUGCGAAGGCAGCUCACUAAGCCAUAACUGACGCUGAUGCACGAAAGCGUGGGGAGCAAACAGGAUUAGAUACCCUGGUAGUC